GUCAGUAUGUCCGAGUGGUUAAGGCGCUAGACUUGAACAUCAAUUCGAGGUAUCUAGUUCAUUCGUGAUCCUAGUCGAACCCUAGUGCUGACG
rfam:Penicillium camemberti str. FM013